rnacentral:rRNA from 1 species
CUACGGGCUGCAGCAGUGGGGAAUAUUGGACAAUGGGCGCAAGCCUGAUCCAGCAAUGCCGCGUGUGUGAAGAAGGCCUUCGGGUUGUAAAGCACUUUUGUUAGGGAGGAAAGUCUGGUAGCUAAUAACUGCUAGAUCUGACGUUACCUAAAGAAUCAGCACCGGCUAACUCUGUGCCAGCAGCCGCGGUAAUACAGAGGGUGCAAGCGUUAAUCGGAAUUACUGGGCGUAAAGGGUCUGUAGGCGGAUUAUUAAGUCGGAUGUGAAAUCCCCGGGCUCAACCUGGGAACGGCAUUCGAUACUGGUAGUCUAGAGUGUGCAAGAGGAUGGGGGAAUUCCUGGUGUAGCAGUGAAAUGCGUAGAGAUCAGGAGGAACAUCAAUGGCGAAGGCACCUUUCUAGGGCAACACUGACGCUGAGAGACGAAAGCGUGGGGAGCAAACAGGAUUAGAUACCCUCGUAGUC